UAUGGAUACCACCCUAGAGAAUAAGGAGUCUGGAUGUAAAGUGUCCUUGUAUGAGGAAGGUUAGAGGUUCCCAGUUUGCCUCCCUAUCACAUGCAGGUGAAACACUGAGUACCACUGAGGAACUUGACCCAAUAUUGUAUACAGUGGGGCCAGCCCCCAGUGAAGUGCAAUAUGCUCCAUUUUGUCACAGUUUAAGAUAUAACACUGCAUGGAUCCAGACAAGUCAGAUGAGGCUUUCUACUGAUUGGAAUGGAUUCCUAUUCCAGACUCCAGACUUAAUUAGGUGACAUCCUGAACUGUUCUAUACAUUGGGCAUUUGCAGAGAGAUUCAUGAAACAAUUUCAAGUUCUUCACCCUAAUUUUUAGGAGGGACACAAGCCUCUGUUUUCUACUUCCUUCCCAAUGUGUAUGUUUUAAAAAGACAGAAGCACCCUGGGAAGAGGUUGCCAUGGAGAAUCCGUUCCAGGUUCAAGAGGUAAGCUCUCAGCUGCCAUCUCCAGCCCCUAUGCCAUCAUGUACACUUUUCCCUCUGGACUGUAAUUCCACAUAAACUCUUUAUUCUAUAA